AACGAACGCUGGCGGCAGGCUUAACACAUGCAAGUCGAGCGCGUAGCAAUACGAGCGGCAGACGGGUGGGUAACGCGUGGGAAUCUACCGUACCCUAUGGAAUAGCUCCGGGAAACUGGAAGUAAUACCAUAUACGCCCGAAAGGGGAAAGAUUUAUCGGGGUAUGAUGAGCCCGCGUUGGAUUAGCUAGUUGGUGGGGUAAAGGCCUGCCAAGGCGACGAUCCAUAGCUGGUCUGAGAGGAUGAUCAGCCACAUUGGGACUGAGACACGGCCCAAACUCCUACGGGAGGCAGCAGUGGGGAAUAUUGGACAAUGGGCGCAAGCCUGAUCCAGCCAUGCCGCGUGAGUGAUGAAGGUCUUAGGAUUGUAAAGCUCUUUCACCGAUGAAGAUAAUGACGGUAGUCGGAGAAGAAGCCCCGGCAAACUUCGUGCCAGCCGCCGCCGUAAAAC
rnacentral:rRNA from 1 species